rnacentral:lncRNA from 1 species
CAAUGUUCUACCUUCAAAUCAGGAGGCCGCUUCACAGUUCUGAACCCCGGGGUAGCUGCUUCUCAUGACCUUCCAAGUUGCUGGGCAUUCAGAUUCUAGAAACGUAACUGGGCUUUCGGGGUCUGCUUGCAUCCUCCUGGCUAAAAUAGCUCAGGACAUAAAAAUACCAGAAUGAGAAUACUUGCAACAACCUCACAUCCGCAUAUUCCAAGCAGAGGCCAUUAAAACCUCCACAUGACACUGGUGCUGCUCUUCAACGCCACAAGAGCACACAGCUGAAUGGAAAAGGAAGGGGCAUUUUCAG